AUUGAACGCUGGCGGCAGGCUUAACACAUGCAAGUCGAGCGGGGUGAUGGUGCUUGCACUAUCACUUAGCGGCGGACGGGUGAGUAAUGCUUAGGAAUCUGCCUAUUAGUGGGGGACAACAUCCCGAAAGGGAUGCUAAUACCGCCUACGUCCUACGGGAGAAAGAAGGGGAUCACUUGUGACCUUGCGCUAAUAGAUGAGCCUAAGUCGGAGUAGCUAGUUGGUGGGGUAAAGGCCUACCAAGGCGACGAUCUGUAGCGGGUCUGAGAGGAGGAUCCGCCACACGGGGACUGAGACACGGCCCAGACUCCUACGGGAGGCAGCAGUGGGGAAUAUUUGACAAUGGGGGGAACCCUGAUCCAGCCAUGCCGCGUGUGUGAAUAAGGCCUUAUGGUUGUAAAGCACUUUAAGCGAGGAGGAGGCUCUUUUGGUUAAUACCCAAGAUGAGUGGACGUUACUCGCGGAAUAAGCACCAGCUAACUCUGUGCCAGCCGCCGCCGUAA
rnacentral:rRNA from 1 species